AUUGAACGCUGGCGGCAGGCCUAACACAUGCAAGUCGAGCGAGCGGCGGACGGGUGAGUAAUGUAUGGGGAUCUGCCUGAUGGCGGGGGAUAACUACUGGAAACGGUAGCUAAUACCGCAUACCAUCAGAUGAACCCAUAUGGGAUUAGCUUGUAGGUGAGGUAACGGCUCACCUAGGCGACGAUCCCUAGCUGGCCUGAGAGGAUGAUCAGCAACCGUUGGACUUGGACACGGCCCAGACUCCUACGGUAGGCAGCAGUGGGGAAUAUUGCACAAUGGGCGCAAGCCUGAUGCAGCCAUGCCGCGUGUAUGAAGAAGGCCUUAGGGUUGUAAAGUACUUUCAGCGGGGAGGCGUUACCCGCAGAAGAAGCACCGGCUAACUCCGUGCCAGCCGCCGCGGUAAUAC
rnacentral:rRNA from 1 species